CAAGUAGGGCGGGACACGUGAAAUCCUGUCUGAAGAUGGGGGGACCAUCCUCCAAGGCUAAAUACUCGUGAUCGACCGAUAGUGAACCAGUACCGUGAGGGAAAGGCGAAAAGAACCCCGGGAGGGGAGUGAAAUAGAUCCUGAAACCGCAUGCAUACAAACAGUCGGAGCCUCGAAAGGGGUGACGGCGUACCUUUUGUAUAAUGGGUCAGCGACUUACGUUCAGUAGCAAGCUUAACCGUAUAGGGCAGGCGUAGCGAAAGCGAGUCCGAAUAGGGCGUUCAGUUGCUGGGCGUAGACCCGAAACCAAGUGAUCUAUCCAUGGCCAGGAUGAAGGUGCGGUAACACGUACUGGAGGUCCGAACCCACUAACGUUGAAAAGUUAGGGGAUGAGCUGUGGAUAGGGGUGAAAGGCUAAACAAACUUGGAAAUAGCUGGUUCUCUCCGAAAACUAUUUAGGUAGUGCCUCGUGUCUCACCUUCGGGGGUAGAGCACUGUCAUGGUUGGGGGGUCUAUUGCAGAUUACCCCGCCAUAGCAAACUCCGAAUACCGAAGAGUGCAAUCACGGGAGACAGACAUCGGGUGCUAACGUCCGGUGUCAAGAGGGAAACAACCCAGACCGCCAGCUAAGGUCCCCAAAUAUAGCUAAGUGGGAAACGAAGUGGGAAGGCUAAAACAGUCAGGAGGUUGGCUUAGAAGCAGCCACCCUUUAAAGAAAGCGUAAUAGCUCACUGAUCGAGUCGUCCUGCGCGGAAGAUGUAACGGGGCUAAGCUAUAUACCGAAGCUGCGGAUGCGUGCUUUGCACGCAUGGUAGGAGAGCGUUCUGUAAGCCUGCGAAGGUGUCUCGGAAGGGAUGCUGGAGGUAUCAGAAGUGCGAAUGCUGACAUGAGUAGCGAUAAAGGGGGUGAAAGGCCCCCUCGCCGUAAGCCCAAGGUUUCCUACGCAACGUUCAUCGGCGUAGGGUGAGUCGGCCCCUAAGGCGAGGCAGAAAUGCGUAGCUGAUGGGAAGCAGGUCAAUAUUCCUGCACCAUUGUUAGAUGCGAUGGGGGGACGGAUCGCGGAAGGUUGUCCGGGUGUUGGAAGUCCCGGUCGCUGCAUUGGAGAAGGCGCUUAGGCAAAUCCGGGCGCGGAAUUCAAGGGUGUGGCGCGAGCUCCUUAGGGAGCGAAGCAAUUGGAAGUGGUUCCAAGAAAAGCCUCUAAGCUUC
rnacentral:rRNA from 1 species